UGCCUGAAUAGAACCAAGAGCCGUCGCUC
rnacentral:piRNA from 1 species